GAUGAACGCUGGCGGCGUGCCUAAUACAUGCAAGUCGAGCGAACAGACGAGGAGCUUGCUCCUCUGACGUUAGCGGCGGACGGGUGAGUAACACGUGGAUAACCUACCUAUAAGACUGGGAUAACUUCGGGAAACCGGAGCUAAUACCGGAUAAUAUAUUGAACCGCAUGGUUCAAUAGUGAAAGACGGUUUUGCUGUCACUUAUAGAUGGAUCCGCGCCGCAUUAGCUAGUUGGUAAGGUAACGGCUUACCAAGGCGACGAUGCGUAGCCGACCUGAGAGGGUGAUCGGCCACACUGGAACUGAGACACGGUCCAGACUCCUACGGGAGGCAGCAGUAGGGAAUCUUCCGCAAUGGGCGAACGCCUGACGGAGCAACGCCGCGUGAGUGAUGAAGGUCUUCGGAUCGUAAAACUCUGUUAUUAGGGAAGAACAAAUGUGUAAGUAACUAUGCACGUCUUGACGGUACCUAAUCAGAAAGCCACGGCUAACUACGUG
rnacentral:rRNA from 1 species